rnacentral:misc_RNA from 1 species
AAGUCGUAACAAGGUUUCCGUAGGUGAACCUGCGGAAGGAUCAUUACCAAUUUAAUCCAAAUCUCUAACCCAUGUGCACGAUGAUUGUUUGUCCUUGGGGUGUUGUUUGUUGUGUGAAAACCCAAUAAAUCAGUCACCCCGACAUUGUUAACAAAAUCCUUUUUGAUUUAUACAUGGCAUCUUGUCUUUGCUUAAAAUAAUAAGUAUGACAACUUUUAACGGUGGAUCUCUUGGCUCGUG